rnacentral:ncRNA from 1 species
AGAACUUACAAAUCGAAGAGUGGAAUGAAGGGGUAACGCCCGGAAACGCUCUCUCUAAGAGGUCCCACAUGCACAGAAAGAAUGAGUUCUGAAGUGUAUGAAGCUGGGUAAAUCAGGCCGAGAAUUGCCCUAACAGAGAGAUUAUGGGAAUAGGUCUUAGUAAUUGUUGGUUUAAAAGUGGCCAGAGCCCGCCUGCAAAGAAAAGACACGAAAACAUAAUUGAGCUGAGGAAAAUCGUCCAGAGGUGGACGACGCAAUCUAUAGGUCGUGAGGCUACAAA